rnacentral:piRNA from 1 species
UAAGAAAAAACUGUUUGUGGUAUACCCGU